GACGAACGCUGGCGGCGUGCUUAACACAUGCAAGUCGAACGGUAAGGCCCUUCGGGGUACACGAGUGGCGAACGGGUGAGUAACACGUGGGUGAUCUGCCCUGCACUUCGGGAUAAGCCUGGGAAACUGGGUCUAAUACCGGAUAGGACCACUGCCUGCAUGGGUGGUGGUGGAAAGCUUUUGAGGUGUGGGAUGGGCCCGCGGCCUAUCGGCUUGUUGGUGGGGUGAUGGCCUACCAAGGCGACGACGGGUAGCCGGCCUGAGAGGGCGACCGGCCACACUGGGACUGAGAUACGGCCCAGACUCCUACGGGAGGCAGCAGUGGGGAAUAUUGCACAAUGGGCGCAAGCCUGAUGCAGCGACGCCGCGUGAGGGAUGACGGCCUUCGGGUUGUAAACCUCUUUCAGCACCGACGAAGCGCAAGUGACGGUAGGUGCAGAAGAAGGACCGGCCAACUACGUGCCAGCCGCCGCAGUAA
rnacentral:rRNA from 1 species